rnacentral:rRNA from 1 species
AACGCUAGCUACAGGCUUAACACAUGCAAGUCGAGGGGCAGCAGGGAUUUAGCUUGCUAAAUUCGCUGGCGACCGGCGCACGGGUGCGUAACGCGUAUCCAACUUUCCUGUUACUCUCGGAUAGCCUUCCGAAAGGGAGAUUAAUACGAGAUGGUGUUCUAAUUCCGCAUGUUAUUAGAACUAAAGAUUCAUCGGUAACGGAUAGGGAUGCGUGACAUUAGAUAGUUGGCGGGGUAACGGCCCACCAAGUCCACGAUGUCUAGGGGUUCUGAGAGGAAGGUCCCCCACACUGGAACUGAGACACGGUCCAGACUCCUACGGGAGGCAGCAGUGAGGAAUAUUGGUCAAUGGCCGAGAGGCUGAACCAGCCAAGUAGCGUGAAGGAUGAAGGUUCUAUGGAUUGUAAACUUCUUUUAUACGGGAAUAACAUCACCUACGUGUAGGUGCCUGCAUGUACCGUAUGAAUAAGCAUCGGCUAACUCCGUGCCAGCAGCCGCGGUAAUACGGAGGAUGCGAGCGUUAUCCGGAUUUAUUGGGUUUAAAGGGAGCGUAGACGGGAUGUUAAGUCAGCUGUGAAAGCCUGCGGCCCAACCGCAGAACUGCAGUUGAUACUGGCGUUCUUGAGUGCGUACGAGGUAUGUGGAAUUCGUGGUGUAGCGGUGAAAUGCUUAGAUAUCACGAAGAACUCCGAUUG